UAACUCAACUCAACUCAACUCA
rnacentral:siRNA from 1 species